UCUGGUUGAUCCUGCCAGUAGUGAUAUGCUUGUUUCAAAGAUUAAGCCAUGCAUGUCUAAGUAUAAGCGAACUUAUACAGUGAAACUGCGGAUGGCUCAUUAAAACAGUUUGAAUUUAUUUAAUGAAUGUAUGAGAAUACUACUUGGAUAACCGUAGUAAUUCUAGAGCUAAUACAUGCAACGACGCCCGACCGUUUCACUACGGAAGGGCUGUAUUUAUUGGAUACCAAAACCAUCCUUCCCUCGGGAAGUUUUGUUUGAUGAUUCACAAUAACUGAUCGGAUCGCCACUGUGGUGGCGACAGGUCAUUCAACAUUCUGCCCUAUCAGCUUUCGAUGGUUGUGUAGUGGACAACCAUGGCCAUAACGGGUAACGGAGAAUCAGGGUUCGAUUCCGGAGAAGGAGCUUGAGAAUUGGCUACUACAUCUAAGGAAGGCAGCAGGCGCGCAAAUUACCCAACCCCGAUUCGGGGAGGUAGUGACAAAAAAUAACAAUACCGGGCCUUUUUGGGCUUGGUAAUUGGAAUGAGGGAGAGUUAAACGGACCAUCGAGUAUCCAUUGGAGGGCAAGUCUGGUGCCAGCAGCUGCGGUAAUACCAGCUCCAAUAGCGUAUAUUAAAGUUGUUGCAGUUAAAAAGCUCGUAGUUGGACUUGUGUGCGCUGUCCGUGGGUGGCCUGCGCCCAAAAGGGCGUUUCGGUUCGGCCCCGGUGGCGCCUUGAAAUCUGCAGCUGGGGGGACGUUGGCCUUAACUGGUCGGCGACCGCACGCCGGCUGCUCGGUUACUGUGAGAAAAUUAGAGUGUUCAAGGCAGGCAUUGGGUGCAAUUGAAUACAUUAGCAUGGAAUAAUAAAAUAUGGCUCCUGCCGUAUUUUGUUGGUUUUGACUGGUGGGAGUAAUGAUUGAUAGGGACGGUUGGGGGUGCUAGUAUUGAGCGGCCAGAGGUGAAAUUCAUGGAUUCGCUCUAGACUAACUUAUGCGAAAGCAUUCACCAAGGACGUCCUCUUUAAUCAAGAACGAAAGUUGGGGGAUCGAAGACGAUCAGAUACCGUCGUAGUCUCAACCAUAAACUAUGUCGACUUGGGAUCGGCGGUAGUUUUUUCAUUAAGACACUGUCGGGACCACGGGAGAAAUCAAAGUGUCUGGACUCUGGGGGAAGUAUGGUCGCAAGGCUGAAACUUGAAGGAAUUGACGGAAGGGCACCACCAGGAGUGGAGCCUGCGGCUUAAUUUGACCCAACACGGGGAAACUUACCAGGUCCAGAGAUGUAGAGGAUUGACAGAUUGAAGCUCUUUCUUGAUCACUUCGGUGGUGGUGCAUGGCCGUUCUUAGUUGGUGGAGUGAUUUGUCUGGUUAAUUCCGUUAACGAACGAGACCUCAGCCUGCUA
rnacentral:rRNA from 1 species